GUGUUAGCGAUUGCAGGGGUGCGGCGUACAUGAGAUCUUUGCCUAUAUCCAAUUUUAGGAUCGUCUGUCUCCAUAUACGGAGCAUCAGUUUUGUCGGGGGUAAUAUAUUAAUGUCCUUUAUCUGCCGGUCUGAGUAUGCCCAUAGGGCAUCUUCCACCGUUCCUUGUGUCAUGCAGGCAUUUUCUAGUGCCAGCCAGAUGGGAGGUGCCGUACCUUCCAGGACCGCUAGGCCCUGUGCCAGUAUUGAGGCUUUAUAAUAUAGCUGAACAUUGGGCACACUGAGGCCUCCUUCUGAGAAGGGUCUCCAGAUCAAUUUCUGCGAGACCCGGGGGGGUUUUCUCUUCUAUAUAUGUGCG